rnacentral:rRNA from 1 species
GGGAUAACAUUCUGAAAAGAAUGCUAAUACCGCAUGACAUAUCGGAACCACAUGGUUCUGAUAUCAAAGAUUUUAUCGCUUGAAGAUGGACUCGCGUCCGAUUAGUUAGUUGGUGAGGUAACGGCUCACCAAGACCGCGAUCGGUAGCCGGACUGAGAGGUUGAGCGGCCACAUUGGGACUGAGACACGGCCCAGACUCCUACGGGAGGCAGCAGUGGGGGAUAUUGCGCAAUGGGGGCAACCCUGACGCAGCAACGCCGCGUGAAGGAUGAAGGUUUUCGGAUUGUAAACUUCUUUUAUUAAGGACGAAAAAUGACGGUACUUAAUGAAUAAGCUCCGGCUAACUACGUGCCAGCAGCCGCGGUAAUACGUAGGGAGCAAGCGUUGUCCGGAUUUACUGGGUGUAAAGGGUGCGUAGGCGGCUUUGCAAGUCAGAUGUGAAAUCUAUGGGCUCAACCCAUAAACUGCAUUUGAAACUGUAGAGCUUGAGUGAAGUAGAGGCAGGCGGAAUUCCCCGUGUAGCGGUGAAAUGCGUAGAGAUGGGGAGGAACACCAGUGGCGAAGGCGGCCUGCUGGGCUUUAACUGACGCUGAGGCACGAAAGCGUGGGUAGCAAACAGGAUUAGAUACCCUGGUAGUCCACGCUGUAAACGAUGAUUACUAGGUGUGGGGGGUCUGACCCCUUCCGUGCCGGAG